rnacentral:tRNA from 4 species
GCCAGCGUAGCUCAGUUGGCAGAGCAGCGGUUUUGUAAACCGCCGGUCGUGGGUUCGAAUCCCUCCGCUGGCUC